rnacentral:misc_RNA from 1 species
GAUGAAGAACGUAGCGAAAUGCGAUAAGUAAUGUGAAUUGCAGAAUUCAGUGAAUCAUCGAAUCUUUGAACGCACCUUGCACCCUUUGGCAUUCUGAAGGGUAUGCUCGUUUGAGUGUCAUUGUACUCUCACACUCCCGAUCUUUGCAUUGGGAGCAGUGGACUUGGGUUUGCUGCUUCACCGUCGCUUACCUCAAAUAGGUUAGUGCAACUCUUGGUUGGACAUAGUACGGCGUGAUAAGUGUUCUUCGCCGGUGCCUCGCAAAGAGGGUGGCCGAUCGGGAUGUUGUGCUCCAAACCGUCUUCGGACAAUCUCUGACGACUUGACCUCAUAUCGAGUAAGACUACCCGCUGAACUUAAGCAUAUCAAUAAGCGGAGGA